AACGCGAAGAACCUUACCUGGGCUCGAACGGCUCACGACAGGGGUGGAAACACCUUUUUUCCGCAAGGAACGGGAGUCGAGGUGCUGCAUGGCUGUCGUCAGCUCGUGUCGUGAGAUGUUGGGUUAAGUCCCGCAACGAGCGCAACCCUUGUCCUGUGUUGCCACUCCCGUAAGGGAAGCACUCGCAGGAGACCGCCAGCGAUAAGCUGGAGGAAGGUGGGGAUGAUGUCAAGUCAUCAUGGCCUUUAUGUCCAGGGCUACACACGUGCUACAAUGGGCGGUACAAAGCGCUGCAAACCCGCGAGGGGGAGCUAAUCGCAAAAAACCGUUCUCAGUUCGGAUCGCAGGCUGCAACUCGCCUGCGUGAAGCUGGAAUCGCUAGUAAUGGCGUAUCAGAAUGAUGCCGUGAAUACGUUCCCGGGCCUUGUA
rnacentral:rRNA from 1 species